rnacentral:rRNA from 1 species
AUUGAACGCUGGCGGCAGGCCUAACACAUGCAAGUCGAGCGGAUGAGGAGAGCUUGCUCUCUGAUUUAGCGGCGGACGGGUGAGUAAUGCCUAGAAAUCUGCCUGGUAGUGGGGGAUAACGUCCGGAAACGGGCGCUAAUACCGCAUACGUCCUACGGGAGAAAGCAGGGGACCUUCGGGCCUUGCGCUAUCAGAUGAGCCUAGGUCGGAUUAGCUAGUUGGUGAGGUAAUGGCUCACCAAGGCUACGAUCCGUAACUGGUCUGAGAGGAUGAUCAGUCACACUGGAACUGAGACACGGUCCAGACUCCUACGGGAGGCAGCAGUGGGGAAUAUUGGGCAAUGGGCGAAAGCCUGAUCCAGCCAUGCCGCGUGUGUGAAGAAGGUCUUCGGAUUGUAAAGCACUUUAAGUUGGGAGGAAGGGCAGUAAGUUAAUACCUUGCUGUUUUGACGUUACCGACAGAAUAAGCACCGGCUAACUUCGUGCCAGCAGCCGCCGUAAGAC